rnacentral:rRNA from 1 species
GACGAACGCUGGCGGCGUGCCUAACACAUGCAAGUCGAACGAAGAGCGAUGGAAGCUUGCUUCUAUCAAUCUUAGUGGCGCACGGGUGAGUAACGCGUAAUCAACCUGUCCUUCAGAGGGGGACAACAGUUGGAAACGACUGCUAAUACCACAUACGAUCUAAUCUCGGCAUCCAGGAGAGAUGAACGGUGGUCUCUACAUGUAAGCUAUCACUGAAGGAGGGUACUGCGUUUGAUUAGCUAGCUGGGGGGGUAACCGGCCACCCAGGCGAGGAACAGUAGCCGGUCUGAGAGGAGGGACGGCCAAAAUGGGACUGGGGCACGGGCCAGACUCCUACGGGGGGGAGCCGUUGGGGAUCUUUCGGCAAGGACGAAAGGCUGGAGGGGGAACGCCGGGUGAGUGAUGGCGGCCUUCGGGUUGUAAAACUCUGUUAAUCGGGACGGAAGGCCUGCUUGCGAAUAGGGGGACAGAUUGACGGUACCGGAAUAGAAAGCCACGGCUAACUACGUG